GCCUAGCCCUAAACACAAAUAGACCCUCACCCCAACUAUUCGCCAGGGAACAACGAGCCCCAGCUUAAAACCCAAAGGACUUGGCGGUGCUUUAGACCCCCCUAGAGGAGCCUGUUCUAGAAUCGAUACUCCCCGUUCAACCUCACCCUCUCUUGUUUUCCCCGCCUAUAUACCGCCGUCGUCAGCUUACCCUAUGAAGGACUUAUAGUAAGCAAAAUUGGCACAGCCCAAAACGUCAGGUCAAGGUGUAGCGUACGAGAGGGGAAGAAAUGGGCUACAUUUACUGAAACAGUAAACACGGAUUUUGCACUGAAAUAUGCAUCUGAAGGAGGAUUUAGCAGUAAGAAGUGAAUAGAGCGCACUUCUGAAAACGGCCCUGAAGCGCGCACACACCGCCCGUCACUCUCCCCAAAAACCAACACAUGAUAAAUAAUACCCAAUCUAAUAUAAAGGGGAGGCAAGUCGUAACAUGGUAAGUGUACCGGAAGGUGCACUUGGAAAAACC
rnacentral:rRNA from 1 species